rnacentral:rRNA from 1 species
UAGUCAUAUGCUUGUCUCAAAGAUUAAGCCAUGCAUGUCUCAGUGCAAGCCGUCCUGUACGGUGAAACCGCGAAAGGCUCAUUAAAUCAGUUAUGGUUCCUUAGAUAGUACCCACGUUACUUGGAUAACUGUGGUAAUUCUAGAGCUAAUACAUGCCGACAGAGUUCCGACCAGCGUCGCGGCGGCUUGCCGUUCGCGACGUUCGGAAGGAGCGCUUUUAUUAGAUCAAAAUCGGCCAAGCGCAACGUUCGCGUAGCGUUAGUGGCCCGCGCAAAGACUUGACGACUCUGAAUAACUUCGAGCUGAUCGCACGGUCUCGCACCGGCGACGUAUCUUUCAAAUGUCUGCCUUAUCAACUGUCGACGGUACGUUCGAUGCUUACCGUGGUGGUAACGGGUAACGGGGAAUCAGGGUUCGAUUCCGGAGAGGGAGCCUGAGAAACGGCUACCACAUCCAAGGAAGGCAGCAGGCGCGCAAAUUACCCACUCCCAGCUCGGGGAGGUAGUGACGAAAAAUAACGAUACGGGACUCAUCCGAGGCCCCG